GUCUUGGGCAGGUUCCCAUGCUCAGCAGCUCAGGCUCCGGCGUGUCCCCGUCUAGUCACCAGUCGGAAUCUGAAAGAGAUGAGAGUGAGAUUACCCCCCCUUCGUUAACAGGACUCUAGCGGAACACGGGACAGAGGAAGGCCUUCCCUCUGCCCACAAGUGACCCGCCACAGCCAGCCUCUCCCCCUGGCGGCCUGCUGCUGGCCCCAGGGGACAGACGGGCCGGGUGGCAGAUGGGGAGGGAGAAGGCCUGGACUCCACGCAAAAAUCAAGACUUAUCGCCAAAGAAGCACAACCGUCUCCCGCCGUCCCUUGCGUCCUCCGUCCCUCCUUCCCCAUGGGCGGGCUCUGGCAUCAUCCUGGUUUGGGUGAUGUUACAGUAUCUUCGUCCCCACUCCCCUGGCCCUUUCUUCGUCCGUCUUGCGUGGGAAAACCGCAGAUCGGCUGGGUUCGCUCCACGUUUAUAACCACGCGCCUGAUGGGGCCCCGAGAGCUGCCAGCAUUUCCACCCUAAUUCUCCUGUAAGACCAUCUCCCUGUUUUUCCUCUUUUCUCAAACGUCCAACACCCCCUCCUCCCUCUCAGCUGUGGCCUUGCACCUUCUUUCAGUGAGAAGAUAGAGCCAGGAGACAGAACACCCCCCUCUCCCCUGCAUUGACCAACUGUGUCUGUGCUCACGCGCACCCUCCCUCCUGAUGUCAUAGCCCUUGAUCCAAUCGAAGGUGAGCAGCUUCACCUGUGCACUAAAACCCACCUCUGCCCAUAGAGAAAUCGAAUUGGCAUGUUCCCAGCAGCACUAUUCACAAUUUCUCAGGAGUUCCCAUCGUGGCGCAGUGGAAACGAAUCCGACUAGGAACCGGAGGUUGCAGGUUGGUAUCCCUGGCCUCGCUCAGUGGGUUAAGGAUCCGGCGUUGCUGCGAGCUGUGGUGUAGGUGGUAGAUUCCACCUGGAUCCUGUGUUGCUGUGGCUGUGGUGGAGGCCUGGCAGCUGUAGCUCCAAUUCGACCCCUAGCCUGGAAACCUCCAUAUGCCGUGGCUGUAGCCCUGAAAAGCAAACACACACCCUCCCAAACCUCCAGCAUCCAUCAACAGAAGAAAGGGGCAACUGAGGCGCCUUCCAAGGGGUAACUGCGGGCAGCCCUGCGCAAAAGCACAGGUGAGCCUCCCAGACGUUAACGC
rnacentral:lncRNA from 1 species